rnacentral:rRNA from 1 species
AGAGUUUGAUCCUGGCUCAGGAUGAACGCUAGCUACAGGCUUAACACAUGCAAGUCGAGGGGCAGCAUGGUCUUAGCUUGCUAAGGCCGAUGGCGACCGGCGCACGGGUGAGUAACACGUAUCCAACCUGCCGUCUACUCUUGGACAGCCUUCUGAAAGGAAGAUUAAUACAAGAUGGCAUCAUGAGUCCGCAUGUUCACAUGAUUAAAGGUAUUCCGGUAGACGAUGGGGAUGCGUUCCAUUAGAUAGUAGGCGGGGUAACGGCCCACCUAGUCUUCGAUGGAUAGGGGUUCUGAGAGGAAGGUCCCCCACAUUGGAACUGAGACACGGUCCAAACUCCUACGGGAGGCAGCAGUGAGGAAUAUUGGUCAAUGGGCGAGAGCCUGAACCAGCCAAGUAGCGUGAAGGAUGACUGCCCUAUGGGUUGUAAACUUCUUUUAUAAAGGAAUAAAGUCGGGUAUGCAUACCCGUUUGCAUGUACUUUAUGAAUAAGGAUCGGCUAACUCCGUGCCAGCAGCCGCGGUAAUACGGAGGAUCCGAGCGUUAUCCGGAUUUAUUGGGUUUAAAGGGAACGUAGAUGGAUGUUUAAGUCAGUUGUGAAAGUUUGCGGCUCAACCGUAAAAUUGCAGUUGAUACUGGAUAUCUUGAGUGCAGUUGAGGCAGGCGGAAUUCGUGGUGUAGCGGUGAAAUGCCUAGAUACCACGAAGAACUCCGAUUGCGAAGGCAGCCUGCUAAGCUGCAACUGACAUUGAGGCUCGAAAGUGUGGGUAUCAAACAGGAUUAGAUACCCUGGUAGUCCACACGGUAAACGAUGAAUACUCGCUGUUUGCGAUAUACAGCAAGCGGCCAAGCGAAAGCGUUAAGUAUUCCACCUGGGGAGUACGCCGGCAACGGUGAAACUCAAAGGAAUUGACGGGGGCCCGCACAAGCGGAGGAACAUGUGGUUUAAUUCGAUGAUACGCGAGGAACCUUACCCGGGCUUAAAUUGCAGAUGAAUUACGGUGAAAGCCGUAAGCCGCAAGGCAUCUGUGAAGGUGCUGCAUGGUUGUCGUCAGCUCGUGCCGUGAGGUGUCGGCUUAAGUGCCAUAACGAGCGCAACCCUUGUUGUCAGUUACUAACAGGUCAUGCUGAGGACUCUGACAAGACUGCCAUCGUAAGAUGUGAGGAAGGUGGGGAUGACGUCAAAUCAGCACGGCCCUUACGUCCGGGGCUACACACGUGUUACAAUGGGGGGUACAGAGGGCCGCUACCACGCGAGUGGAUGCCAAUCCCAAAAACCUCUCUCAGUUCGGACUGGAGUCUGCAACCCGACUCCACGAAGCUGGAUUCGCUAGUAAUCGCGCAUCAGCCACGGCGCGGUGAAUACGUUCCCGGGCCUUGUACACACCGCCCGUCAAGCCAUGGGAGCCGGGGGUACCUGAAGUGCGUAACCGCGAGGAGCGCCCUAGGGUAAAACUGGUGACUGGGGCUAAGUCGUAACAAGGUA